CCGUAGCCCAAGAGAUCGGGAUAACACCUGGAAACAGAUGCUAAUACCGGAUAACAACAGAUGAUGCCUAUCAACUGUUUAAAAGAUGGUUCUGCUAUCACUCUUGGAUGGACCUGCGGUGCAUUAGCUAGUUGGUAGGGUAACGGCCUACCAAGGCGAUGAUGCAUAGCCGAGUUGAGAGACUGAUCGGCCACAUUGGGACUGAGACACGGCCCAAAACUCCUACGGGAGGCAGCAG
rnacentral:rRNA from 1 species